GGAGGGGUUCCCGAGUGGCCAAAGGGAUCAGACUGUAAAUCUGACGCGUGAGCUUCGGUGGUUCGAAUCCACCCCCCUCCACCA
rnacentral:tRNA from 1 species